rnacentral:lncRNA from 1 species
CAGUGCUGUUUAUGUUGGCCAGCACCCAAUAAGCAAAUAAUGGGAAAUUGAUUAUUGAUUAUUUCCUCAUUCCCAAGUGAAAAGGAGAAAGGUAUCUCUAUUGGAGAUGAACGCAUGUUCAAUACACGUGGCCUGCCUGAGUCAUUAGCAAAGUGUCCAACAACUCUGAGGCGUAUCCUCAAAUGAAGCCUUGUCUCUGUGAAAUUCCUGAUAAAUCGUCAUUUUAUGGAAUGCCACAGGAAGAAGUUUUCUUUACAAGUUCUGAAGACUUGUGAUGAAUGAGUCCAUAGUUUCACCUUUGAAAAUGUCCCUGGGAGUGUCAACCCCAUCACUUUUACUUAUAUUACACUCAUAAUCAGUUCAUCUCGCCAAGAAAAAUAAUAUUAUCCUCAUGCCCAAACUUGUGACUUGAUUUGAA